AUAAGUAUGAUUACAAUUCUGUUUUGCUUCUAACUUUCGAUAUUUUAGGGUUUGUUUAAUUAUAGUAAAGUCAAGAAAUGUAUUUUCAGAAUCUUUGUUUAAACGUUUGUCAAGCAAAAAUGGACCAUAAGAUCCUCAAAAGUUCCAACUGGUUCCAACAAAAGUUUUACAGAAGUAAUACUACUUGGUGGUUGAGGUAUAUGCAGUUUUUUCAUUGCACAACGUGCAUCAAAGUAAUCGGCUGUUUCAAGUUCAGUGCUGUGACGGACCAUUAGUUCUACCUUACCGACCAAGUCCUCUUUAAUAAAAUAAAUAAAGAAAGAAAGAAGCUAUUCUUAUUCCCAAGAUUCCAAACUCUGGUUCCAACCUCAAACAGAUGAGCAACUAAAAGAUUAUGGUUCCACAAAAGUUGUAAGAAGACUUCUAAGGUUCCCUAUUAUAAGAAAACGACUUCGAACGGUGAGUCUAUCCUUAUCUGUUCUUAAAUUACGGGCAAUUACGGGACAAUGGGAUUCGAAAUGAAAAGAGCACGUUGAUUACCCUCCACAGUGUAUUUGGUGACCUAGAUUGCAAUGAAAAUAUUAGGUAUAACAUCGAUGUACGAGAUACUUUUCAAUACGUUACUUAAAUAUCUAUGUAAGAUACCCAUAUUGUAUAAGUAGAUGACAAUAUUACGACUUCAUAAUAUUUGACUCAUUCGCUAACAAACAACAUUUAAUAUGGUUUUAUUUUGUUUUUUUUUUGUAUCAUUUUUUUGUUAUUUUUUUUUUUUACACGUAGAAUAUCAUAACGACAUUGACAAUAUAUAAUAUAUAUCUGCUUUUUACCGUAGUGUUUACAGAAUAUAAUAACGA